rnacentral:rRNA from 1 species
UGGGGAAUCUUGGACAAUGGGCGCAAGCCUGAUGGAGCGACGUCGCGUGAUGGACGAAGUGCUUCGGCACGUAAACAUCUUUUUAUGUGGGAUGAAAUUAUUGACAGUACCACAUGAAUAAGGGGCUCCUAACUCUGUGCCAGCAGGAGCGGUAAUACAGAGGCCCCAAGCGUUAUCCGGAAUCACUGGGCGUAAAGGGUGUCGAGGCGGUUGUAUUAGUCGUUCGUAAAAUCUACGAGCUUAACUUGUAGGCGGCGAACGAAACGGUACGACUUGAGGUUUGGAGAGGUGCGUGGAACUCACGGUGUAGGGGUGAAAUCCGUUGAUAUCGUGGGGAACACCAAAGGCGAAGGCAGCGCACUGGCCAAAAUCUGACGCUCACACACGAAAGCUAGGGUAGCGAAGAGGAUUAGAUACCCAAGUAGUCCCUGAGCGGGCUGGCAAGGCGCAU